UACGUAGGGUGCAAGCGUUGUCCGGAAUUAUUGGGCGUAAAGGGCGCGUAGGCGGCCUGGCAAGUGGAAGGUGAAAUCCCUCGGCUUAACCGAGGAACUGCCCUCCAAACUGCUUGGCUUGAGUCCGGGAGAGGUGAGUGGAAUUCCCAGUGUAGCGGUGAAAUGCGUAGAUAUUGGGAGGAACACCAGUGGCGAAGGCGGCUCACUGGACCGGAACUGACGCUGAUGCGCGAAAGCGUGGGGAGCAAACGGG
rnacentral:rRNA from 1 species